AAACCUCCACAGUCGUCCACGGUAGCUCUUCCUCCACGCGAACACAACCACUAGAACACCUCGCCGCCUCCGCCGCCGCCGAGGACGACGGCGACGAUGUGGCGUCCGCGAGCUCGUGCUCUCCUCCUCCUCCGCUCCUCCAUUCCCAGGUCGCCACCGCCGCAUCCACCACAACAUCCCACUCGAACCCUUGCCCGAGCCCUACCUCCGCGCCUUCUCUCCCGCUUCCUCUCCUCCUCUCCGGAUCCCAUUCCCGAUGCCACUUCCUCCUCCGCGGAUCCCUUCCCCGAAGCCUCCUCCUCCCAGACCGCCGCUGCCCUAGAUGGUGCCACCGAGGCCGGGGAAGACAACUUGAGCUCGAUGUAGGAAGAUGCUGGGGAUGCCGACGACAUCUUCGCAUCCCCCGGCGGUGCUGACGCCGUAGCCGACGACGAGGAGGUCGCUCGCGUUCGCGCCGUCGUGGAGGACACUCCAGAGGACAAGUUGGCCUCCACCCUCGCCGACAUGCGAAGAACAACCCAGCGGCCAAGAGCCUCUCGAAUCUUGAGAUCCUCGUGAGCAAGGUAGCUGAUUCUGAUGAGAUUGGCAAGAUGGACGCAUACUUGCUUUGGGAUUCGGUUAAGGAAAUUGGCUCUGUGCCAGGAUCAGUGAGCACACCGUUGUUGAAUGAAAUGAUCGCAAUUUUCCCUGGCAAUGGAAUUCAACUCAAGGAAAUUUUCUUCACAUAUUUUGUGAUUUAGGAUGGCGUUCAUUAAUUGCUUAGCAUACUUAAAUGACACCGUUAAUGUUAUCUCUUGGGGCUUUUCAGUUGCACCUUCUAUCUUCAUUAAAAUUCAAAUGCAUGGCUAAAAAAUGUUGUCCAUCAGAUGACUGAUGUAGAUAACAUUUUAGCAUUUUACUGCACUUCUAUUUGUAUAUUAUGAAUACAGAUCUCUGCAUCCCGAAAAUAUUUGGUAUUGGUGCAUCGUACAAGACUUUAAUGUAUUGCCCCCAAAUAAUCUGCGCCUUGAUUCACCUAUGUCAAGAUUUUAGUUGCGCGUUGUAUUAGCCUAUUAGGUGAUUGAUCUGCCAGUGGUUGUCUGACAAUACAGUAUGUUAUAUUGUGUUGUAUAUCUGCACAAAUUGUUGCUUCCCCUGGUAGCAUUGCUCUGAAAAAUUGGCAUGAAUAUCUAUGAAAAAGAUCACUGCAUAUUGUAAUGGAUUUUAUGAAGUUCAUAUUACUGCAUUUUUUAAGCUAUACCUGUAGUUAAGCAUAGCUGCUGUUCUGAUUAUCGUUUCCUAUACGGAUCAUGGCAUUUGUGUUUUUUUUUUCAUUUUUGCAUUUCAUGUCUGGACUAAUUUAUUGAAUACUACCUAUUGGAUUCUUACUCUUACCUGCUAGAUUGCACAACAUACUGUUGCAUUCUAGUCAUCUGUCACUACACAUUGUUUAUUGAUUUUGCACAUUAUGUUCAUUUGUGCCUGACAACUUUCGGUUGUGACAUUUUUGUUUAUGAGAGAGUACUGAAACUAAAAAAAUUAGGAUGGAUCGUUUUAGUUAUCUCCUUUUGUAUUUCUGGUCUGCAGAGUUUUUUUUCCGUGAGAUCUGCCAUUUCUAAGUCCGAUAAUUGUUAAUUGGUUUUUGGUCUCCAUCGUAGCUAUGACACUAGCCCAUUUUUUUGCUGUAAUUGAUGUCAAUUUUCAGAAGAUCACGGCCUAGCCACAUGAUCCAUGCUGAUAAUUUUAAAUUCACUUUGUCACAAUCAAAUUUAGCAGAUGGCAUACCAUGCGUAUUUUGAAUUAUCAUCUGGUUAUCAGUCCUUAUCGGUACCCUAUGAAAAUGAUCUGCUGAUGUUGCUGCCAUCUGAUAUCUCUAAGUAAGCAUCCCCAGUGGUGAAACCAAGCAGUCGCAGAAAGAUGUGCUAAUGUAUUCAAUUUGCUUUGCAAAAAAAAAAGAAAGAAAGAAAACAAAUCACUGUUUGGUAUUGGUGCAUAUCGCUUCUUCUGCUCAUGUGAUGAUCAGCAUGGUGGUGAUCAGAAUAAUACAACUAACAGAAGUACCCUCGGGAUCUUCUGAAUUAUCAGCAUGGAUCCUGUGGCUAGGCCGUGAUCUUCUAAAAAGCAUCCAAUAAUCGAGGUCAGUCCGUGAUUGUUUUCUUUUUUGUGCAAAGCAAAUUGAAUACAUUAUCACAUCUUUCUGUGACUGCUUGCUUCCACAAGUGAUUUCAAAAUUGUCAGCAUGGAUCAUGUGGCUAGACCGUGAUCUUCUGAAAAGCAUCCAAUAAUCGAGGUCAAUUUCUAUGUUGAGAUUAAAAUUAUCAGCAUGGAUCAUGUGGCUAGACUAUGAUCAUCACAUGGUUAUUCUGAUUAUCAGCAUGGAUCAUCAUCAUGUGUGACUACUAUUCGGCUGACUGUGGCUGGUGGCUGGUGCUGAUUUGUUGUGAGAUAAAAAUAUUGCUGGUUGGUUAGUGGUUGGUGCUGAUUUGGUGUGAGAGAAAAAAUCUGCUAGCUGAUUGGCUAACAAGACUGCUGAAUAGAGUGUGGAUUAAACAGUGGCCGCACACGGUGAUGAUCAGAAUCUGGUCCUUGUGCCGUAUUUUUAAUGUUCUGUUUGGUACUGGUGUAUAUCGCUUAUUCUGUUCAUGUGAUUUUAGCACUAACAGAAGUAUCCUAGGGAUACAGUUGUCUUUAUGCUUUUGUUUCGCCAAGUGACGGCUGGAGGUUUGCUCGAGUUUCUUUGGUUGAGGCUGUCCCGUCCGUCCACACUAUUUUAAAAUGGGUAUGGCAUCACAAAUGGACGGUGACAAGUUGUAUCGUAUGCUCAUUUUCAAGUCCAACUUUGAACUAGUGCUCUCAUUUUUUCGACUUGUUUUGUAACAACUCGCAGUGGACCCUCAUACUGCCAGGUUGUUUCUGGUUCAGAAUAAGUAAACUAGUGAGAGGUGAUAGGUGUCUGAA